UGGUCCCUGCCCAGCAGCACGUAGCCACCGGGCAUGAAGGACAGUCAUUCAGGAAGGGCUCCGCUGCCUUCCAACUGCCUGGCCUUCGGGGAGAUGCCUUCUCCUCCAGGAGCGUCUAACCCAAGGGGCACCCCAGGGCCUGCCUGUGAGCAGAGAUGGAGGACGGACAGUGGGGGCCUCAGUUCCAAAGCAAACAGUGUGCUGAGGCAACACCGACCAUGCCUUUCUUUACCUUGGCAAUCUCAUGCCCACACUAAAUAUAGAUGCCGGUGCAGAACGGGCAUUUGCCUGCUGCCACAGAAUUGGCACAGUCCAACUUACAGCAGAAGGGCACAGUGUUAAGACUCUAGAAGCUUUUCACUAUGUGAUGCUGGAAUCUCAAGUUCCUUUCUGGUUCAGAUUGAGCGGACAUCUCCCACUGCAGAUGCAGAGCUGUCUAUUAAUUUGUGAAAAGGAGACUUCAAACGCCGAAUCAAAACAGCGUGGGUGUUCACAGUCUGCCUCCAUCUCCUACAGCCCGCCACUGACACCACUAUGCAGGAACAGCGGACUCAGAGUAGAGGACGCACAAUCCUGUGGCCUGAUGGGCGGGGAAGGUGCCAUUCUCGGGCCGGAUGAAAGGAAGAUGAUCCUGAAAGGGGCUGGAGAUAUAUAAUUUCAAGCAACUCUGUUUCAGGCACGUAUCUUCCUUCUGAUUGCUGCAGACACCAGCUGGUUGGGGGAGGGGGAGAGGCAGGCAGGAAGAAUGAAGAGAGGAACUCUCCACUGGUGGAGGAAAGCAGGGGAAGCCAGAGGGAGGAAGUCAUUCUGGGUUCAAAGAAAUCAACUUAGAAAGCUUCCCUUAUAAAAAUAGCCAUUGGCAAAUCCUAGCCUAUUUAUAUCAACUGUCCAAGAUCACUAUCAGGAUCCUGGACUGAAUCACAAGACCCAGUAAAUAAUCCUUACGAGCAUGGGGCACUGGCUGCCUGAUUUAUGGGGAGAUAUUUCAAACACCACUGGAACAACCGAGUCAGGGAAAAUCUGAGUGCUGGCACCAAAUGGUACACUUGCAAGUGGAUCUCACUUUACAGAAAUAGAUAGGUUCCUGAAAAGUUGGCUCUAAAAUGAACUCAAUUAAUGGAGUCAUAUUUUCCUAGUGAAUCACAUUUUAAAACUAGAGAUGGA